GCAAAGUAUGCCGGGAUGGGUGUGGAGGCCGCGGAACUUCUGGCGGGCGCAAGCUAUAUGCCUUGUUGAUCUUGCCGCAUCUUUUUUACUAGAUGUCGGCUGAGUUGAUCUCAAGUCUCAUAGACAUAUUAUUUAAUGAUGCAAAGGGAAAUUUUGGUUGUCUAAACUGAUUUUCCCAACAUUGCUCUUUUGUAAUGGUGGGAGAGGACAGAAGAUUCAAUUCCUGUCAUCUCUUGCUCAUUUGCCUAAUCCUUCUUCUGAGGUAAGUGUACAUACUGAGAUAGUGACAAUUUUUGUGAGUUCUGCAACGUUGCCUGGAAAAAGCCUGG
rnacentral:lncRNA from 1 species